rnacentral:rRNA from 1 species
GACGAACCGUGCGAACGUUAUUCGGAAUCACUGGGCUUAAAGCGCGUGUAGGCGGGUGGGAACGUCGGCCGCUGAAAUCCCCCGGCUCAACCGGGGAAGGGGCGCCGAAACGGCCCGCCUGGAGGGACGUAGGGGGAGCUGGAACUUCCGGUGGAGCGGUGAAAUGCGUAGAUAUCGGAAGGAACACCUGUGGCGAAAGCGGCUCACUGGACCACAACCGACGCUGAGGCACGAAAGCUAGGGGAGCAAACAGG